rnacentral:lncRNA from 1 species
UUUUUUUGUAACCCAUGAUAGAAUUUUUUGUAAUCCAUGAUCGAAUGUUUUGUAAUACAUGAUCGAAAUGUUUGUUUUUUUUUGUAAUCCAUGAUCGAAAUGUUUGUUUUUUUUUUUGUAAUCCAUGAUUGAAUUUUUUGUUUUUUGCUUUUUUUGUAACCCAUGAUAGAGUUUUUUGUAAUUCUUGAUUGAAUUUUUUGUAAUCCAUGAUCGAACUA